UGGUUCUUAAAGCUCAACAAAACGGCUAGCUUAUUCAAUGGUCUGGCCUCUGACCUAAUUCCAAAUGGGGUAGCUAUUCUUCAGUACGCGGAUGACACAAUUUUGUGUUUUGAGGAUGAUCUUAGAAAUGCUUUGAAUAUUAAGUUGCUCCUUUAUCUGUUUGAGGUCAUGUCAGGAUUGAAAAUCAAUUUCUUAAAGAGCGAGAUAUUCUCUGUCCGUGCGGACGAUGAGACUAUGCAUAAAUAUGCUGAGAUGUUUAACUGCCAAAUAGGUAAUUUCCCUAUAAAAUACCUAGGCAUGCCUGUCAGCUAUGCUGGGCUGAAAUGCAGCGACUGGAGUUUUGUGGAGAAUAAAUUCAUCGAUCAUGGUGAAAAUUGGAUUAGUGAGGUGCUG
rnacentral:rRNA from 1 species